rnacentral:tRNA from 1 species
GGUUCCUUAGCUCAGUUGGUAGAGCAAUGGACUGAAAAUCCAUGUGUCCGCGGUUCGAACCCGCGAGGAACCA